CCCACCACUACAGCUGUAGGUAUCUCCCCACCACUACAGCUGUUAUGUAUCUCCCCACCACUACAGCUGUAGGUAUCUCCCCACCAUUACAGCUGUUAUGUAUCUCCCCACCACUACAGCUGUAGGUAUCUCCCCACCACUACAGCUGUUAUGUAUCUCCCCACCA